UUAGGUAGUAGGCGGGGUAACGGCCCACCUAGCCAACGAUGGAUAGGGGUUCUGAGAGGAAGGUCCCCCACAUUGGAACUGAGACACGGUCCAAACUCCUACGGGAGGCAGCAGUGAGGAAUAUUGGUCAAUGGACGAGAGUCUGAACCAGCCAAGUAGCGUGAAGGAUGAAGGUCCUACGGAUUGUAAACUUCUUUUAUAAGGGAAUAAACCCUCCCACGUGUGGGAGCUUGUAUGUACCUUAUGAAUAAGCAUCGGCUAACUCCGUGCCAGCAGCCGCGGUAAUACGGAGGAUGCGAGCGUUAUCCGGAUUUAUUGGGUUUAAAGGGAGCGCAGACGGGUCGUUAAGUCAGCUGUGAAAGUUUGGGGCUCAACCUUAAAAUUGCAGUUGAUACUGGCGUCCUUGAGUGCGGUUGAGGUGUGCGGAAUUCGUGGUGUAGCGGUGAAAUGCUUAGAUAUCACGAAGAACUCCGAUUGCGAAGGCAGCACACUAAUCCGUAACUGACGUUCAUGCUCGAAAGUGUGGGUAUCAAACAGGAUUAGAUACCCUGGUAGUCCACACGGUAAACGAUGGAUACUCGCUGUUGGCGAUAUACGGUCAGCGGCUUAGCGAAAGCGUUAAGUAUCCCACCUGGGGAGUA
rnacentral:rRNA from 1 species